rnacentral:rRNA from 1 species
UGUCUGGGAAACUGCCUGAUGGAGGGGGAUAACUACUGGAAACGGUAGCUAAUACCGCAUAACGUCGCAAGACCAAAGAGGGGGACCUUCGGGCCUCUUGCCAUCAGAUGUGCCCAGAUGGGAUUAGCUAGUAGGUGGGGUAACGGCUCACCUAGGCGACGAUCCCUAGCUGGUCUGAGAGGAUGACCAGCCACACUGGAACUGAGACACGGUCCAGACUCCUACGGGAGGCAGCAGUGGGGAAUAUUGCACAAUGGGCGCAAGCCUGAUGCAGCCAUGCCGCGUGUAUGAAGAAGGCCUUCGGGUUGUAAAGUACUUUCAGCGGGGAGGAAGGGAGUAAAGUUAAUACCUUUGCUCAUUGACGUUACCCGCAGAAGAAGCACCGGCUAACUCCGUGCCAGCAGCCGCGGUAAUACGGAGGGUGCAAGCGUUAAUCGGAAUUACUGGGCGUAAAGCGCACGCAGGCGGUUUGUUAAGUCAGAUGUGAAAUCCCCGGGCUCAACCUGGGAACUGCAUCUGAUACUGGCAAGCUUGAGUCUCGUAGAGGGGGGUAGAAUUCCAGGUGUAGCGGUGAAAUGCGUAGAGAUCUGGAGGAAUACCGGUGGCGAAGGCGGCCCCCUGGACGAAGACUGACGCUCAGGUGCGAAGCGUGGGGAGCAAA